UUAGCCUCCCCGCCUACAUCUUUCUCCCAUGCAGGAUGCUUCCUGCCCUUGAACAUCAGACUCUAAGCUCUUCAGCUUUAGGACUCAGACUGGCUUUCUUGCUCCUCAGCUUGCAGAUGGCCUAUUGUGGGACCUUGUGAUCAUACCCGGAGUUUCUGUCCAUGUCCAAUACAUUCAAGAUUCUUCUGCAAAUCUGAACAGUCAAAUCCUGAAGUACAUGGAGAAGAGAAGAAACCCAUUUGAAUGAAAGAAGCAUUCCAAGUGACAGAAUGUAUCAGAACAUUUAAAGAAGAAAGAAGGACAUCAUUUUGAAUCAUGAGGCCUACUGGAAAAAUAAACAACAAAAAACAAGCAAGCAAAAUACAGUGGAGAGAGCUGAUAGAGCAGUAGAAAGUCUCCUGGAAUAUCCCCACAGGCCGCUGGUGUCUGGUAGGGAGGAGAGAGUGAGGGAGCCACUUUGGACAUCCGAAUCACUUUUAGCAUACUUUACUUUUCCUAGGUGCAAAAGUAGAGAGGCAAGGAGACUAUCAGUCUUACAAUGCUGAUGGUUAAUAGGAGCUUGGUGGUGGUAGUCCGACCAGGGGAGAGAAUUAGAGUGGUGUCCCCAUCACCCACUUGUUUGUUGGCACCUUGUAGUCCUAAACGUGUGAACUUCUAGUUCCUACGGCUGAAGGAAAAACUGAUCUAACAAAGAGGAGUAAUGCUUUAAGUCUUAUCAGAAAUAUAAGCCCUAGCACGAAGGAGUGUAUCUAGUGCCUUCUUGAAAAAAAGAUGGUUUUUUUUUGUUUUUUGUUUUUUGUUUUUUGAGACAGACUCUCUGUCACCCAGGCUGGAGUACAGUGGCGCUAUCUCAGCUAACUGCAACCUCCACCUCCCCAGUUGAAGCAACUCUCCUGCCUCAGCCUCCUAAGUAGCUGGGACUACAGGCACCCGCCACUACGCCUGGCGAAAUUUUGUAUUUUUAGUAGAGGCAGGGUUUCACCAUAUUGGCCAGGCUGGUCUCCAAUUCCUGACCUUGUGAUCGGCCCACCUUGGCCUCCCAAAGUGCUGAGAUUACAGACGUGAGCCACUGCGCCUGACCAAAAAAAAACCUUUUAAUAGACUGAGGAUGGAGGAAGUAAGAACAAAGUACAAUAAUGAGUGUCUGGAGAGGUUGGAGUAGGAGACCAGGCAGAGUAGCUUGGGAAAAAGGCAGGGAAAGGUGCAAACUGGAUGCCAAGAUAAGCUUGGCUUAUUUCUAAUUUUGCCUAAAGUGACAUAAUAUAACUAUGUCCCCAAGCACAUGUAACAUCUGAUCCCAUUGAGAUGAGAAAUUGCCUGAGAAAUUCAGAUGGAAUUUAUGCAGUAAGCAAAGUUGGAAAAGCAUUUGAUCAUUCUAUAGUUGCUUAGUCUCUCUAGCCUAGGAAACCAUGGGAUACUUAAUUCAGCCAUCUCCAUCUAGGCCCUGUUAUUAAUUGUGUAUUGCAUAGUAUGCUUGCAGGAUCACAAUUGCAUCACAAAGAUAAUCUGACCCUGGCUGUGAGAUUUGGAGAUGACAACACAAUUGUAAAUUUAUAAAAUUUACUGCACCUGCUCAGGGGGACAUAAGGCAACCGUGUUAAUUUAUUUCCCAUUCCAGGGGAAAGGAAGGACUAUGAAAAAUAUCAUCCAAAUCAAUAGAACACAGUGAUUAGACUAUCUAUUGUUUCAAUAGUUUCAUCAAUCACUGACUGAAUCUUCUAGUCUGCAGUUUAAAAUCUAGUUAGUACUUUGUCCAAUAUGCUAUAAUACAUACUAGCAGUCUGUAGAGGGUCUCUGUAAUGAAUUACUGCUACAUUCACCAAUUUUCUAAUAAUUCUGUCAAAUCACCUUCUGGAUUCCAAUUUUCCAUUUUUUUCAGUGAUAUACGUGACUAUAAUCCAACAUUUUUGCAAUUUCAACAAAAAACAUUUGAACAUGCAGUAAAUCACUGGAGGUUACCGGGGAAGAAAGGACCUGCAGCCUUGAACAAAGACAGAUUUAGAAAUAUGCUCAGCAAUACCAGCAAAUAGUACAGGAGAAUCUAGGAUAAAGGAAACAGACUGGAAAAUAAACCAUCCUAGAAAGAAAAGUUCAGAGAAUGAGAACCCCUGGACUGUCUCAAAAAAAAAAAAAAAAAACAGAAACGCGACGUGCUCUGAAAAGGAAUAUUUAACCUGGAUUAAUUCAUAAAAUAAUAGGAGAAAAUUUUUGCAGCCAGAAUACUAUGAAUUUCAGUUGACUGAAGAACAACCUCAUCUUUUAAAGCACAGCAGUUUUCCCAGAUAUGUUUUCCAGAAUGCCAAAUCCUAAGUAAAUUGAUGAGAAAACUGUGGCUCAAAAGUUGUGUUACUUGUUAGACAUCACCAGACAUUUAAGUGCCUCACCCCAUAAACAGAAAGAAGAUGAGACUGCAGAAUAUUAGGAAAUACAUUGCCAUGAACAAGUAGGAUUCGAAAGCAGUCUGCUGUCUUAUGCACUGAA